rnacentral:hammerhead_ribozyme from 1 species
AUCCAGCCGACGAAUCUCAAAUAGAACGAAACGCUCGUUCUGGAU